GCAUGUCCUGAAAUGUUAAUUUUUUUAUAUUUAGGGAUAAAUCCAAUAUAAGCGAGGAUGUAUAUGUAGGCAAUCAGCAUUUCAUGCAGAAGUUAACCUAGGUUUAGUACUUCGAUAUCAACCGCCAAUCUACAUUUUAGAGUCAAAAGUAAUAAAAAUAUGGAAAUAAACUUAGCAUGAUUGGCAGGUGGCACCUCACAUUUCUGUUCAUUUUCUGUUAUAUCAGCGUCUAAAGCGACCAUAUUAACUGCUGGCAGAAAAAGAACGAAACAGUAGACACCAUGGCAUAUCCAUAGUAUCAAGUCUGAUUUAACUGGCCCACUACCCUUUGGCAAUCUAGUUUCACUCCAAAAUUGAGCUAACGCCAUAGUGAUUUGGUUUUCCAUUCCCAAGGUCCAGCUCUUAGUCUGUGUCCUCUCGAUAAAUAAAUGAUCUAGUAGGACAAAGGACAAAAUAAUAUAUGCUUUGACUUUGUUUUUGCUAAAACAUCCACAAAGAUUUACGGCAAGGGAAAAAUGGUAAUCAGGCCAAAUUUUUAUAUUUAUAAAAAUAAAAUGUGAUUAAUGACACAUUGCAAAACAAAAAACUUGUUACUCAUCAAGGACCAACAUAUUCUUUUGCAUUUGCUCAAAAGUAAUACUUUUUUAUAACAUAACAUUCAUCAUUAUCUGCCUUUUACAUAUUUAAUUAUGGAUUCAAACAGUGAGAAGCAAGCAAAAGCAUCAAAAUCCUGAUGUUAAUAUGAUUAGUCAAACUAGGAUCUGAACUGAACUAAAACAGUGAGUAGAAACGACAUGGAGCGUGAAAAUGUCAAUAUACAGCACCAGUUCACGUUGCAUUUGCUGAUUUUGCUGAAGAUUGUUAUCCCUUUCGUCCUUCAGACGCUGUAUUGUCUGGAUCUGGAUAAAAGGAAAGGAACAAUUUACUGAGUAAAAAGGACAAAAGGUUCGCAUAAUAUGUUUUUUUAUUAGUAACAGCUUGAUCAUAAAAGUUAAUUGCUGCAUAGUGAGCAUAUCUCAUCCAGGGCACACUUUAGAAUCAUGAUUUUUGGAAAAAAGUUUGAGUUGGAAUAUGUCAAUCAGGAUAAAGGAAGAUACUCUGGUCCAGAUGAACAAAAGUGGGUAAAAAAUUCCAAAUUCUGGUCCCAUUGCACAAUUAACUAUGUACAUAGGGCAACAUGCUCGUGGGCUUCUGGGCAUCCCUUCCUACCUCAAUCAUGACACCGGCCUGGAAGUAUAGGUACCUUUUCUCACGCUCGAUCAACUUUAUGUUGAUUUCAACAAUGAUUUAAUGAUGCUUGAACAUUGUCCUGCUUCCAUAUUUGCUCUUUUCACAAUUUUAUAUAAGAAAAUGUAGUGUGUAUUUGCUUCUGCAUUUAAGAAUCUAAGAGAGAAAUAGUAUUUGCAAGACUAUAGCAACUACCUCAGUGCAAAAACGUACUGCAAAAAGAUCCUAAGAUGAACCUAAUGUAUAUUUUUUGGAAGUGCGCAGCGCAAUAUUACAGAGUUUGGUAGAGACUUCAAGCCUGUCAAGUCUAAAUGGUAGAAUAAUUCUUUCUCCAUCAGGGGAAAUGUCUUUGCUAGCAGUUUUUUUGGUCAGGUUUCUAAAUAAACAUGUGAAAUUUCUGUUUGGAUAGAGCGCGUUACCUCUUCAAUGCUUGCAUUCUUCAGCAUCUGCAAGAUGAUAGAGCUAGCCAAUCUCACCGAGAGAUCGUCGCCACCCUGCUUGAAGCUCCUAUUUGCUGAAGAUGUGACACCAGAGUCGUCUGAGCUUCCACUGGGCAAUGUGUAGACAACCUUGAGCUUCAUUUCCUCAAUCACCUUAUCAGCCUCCUUGUUGAACUGAGGGAUACAUAUAAAGGGGGGAUUUCGUCCAUGUCGGUGCUGGCAGCCACCCUGGUGCUCUGAAUCAAGAAUUUAUCCUUGGAUUGCAUAUCUGGAGGGUACUCUUUCUGCGACUGUAGGGUAACUAUAACCCAAAACAAGAAGGCAGAUGCGCACACAUCAGAACCAAAUAAAGAAUCCUGGAGCAUGUAUGUAUCUAUGCAUGCAUGCUUACUUGUUAUCGUGCAAGAAUCCCACGGCUGGACGACGCUGGCGUUCGGCCGGACGAAGUACUUCCUCGGAGACGUCGUCUUGACCUGAAUGCAAAUGAACAUAUUCUGAUCAAACCUGAACCUCGAUCUUCUUCAAGAGCUUCACCGAGACGCACAGCGGAAAACCAGAGUCCGUCCUGCGCCGUGGAAUGGAAAUGGCACGAACCUUGAAGGCGACAUGGUGCUCGCUGUUGUUCACCACCUUGAGAUUGCAGUAGCACGGCUUGUCCAGCUCGACUACGCACAAGAAUUCAGUUCAACCAACGUAGAGAAAACCACGGAGGGUUUUUUAUUUUGCAGAAUGCGGAGAAAAUCUCAAGAACAACUUACAGAGGAAGGUGAGGUCGUCCGGG